CUGUGGUGAUACUCAUUCCUGAGAGUCAACCAUGAGAUUCACAGCUCUUCUCCUUCUGGCAGCUCUGGCUGGGGCCCUGGUCUGUGCCCAAGAUGCCACCACUGGUCCUGCACAAGCUCCUGAGGACCCUGCGAGCUUGCAAUCUGAUGCACCCCAAGAGACAACCAUAGCAGCGGAGACUCCGGCGGCC